rnacentral:rRNA from 1 species
AUUGAACGCUGGCGGCAGGCCUAACACAUGCAAGUCGAACGAGUGGCGGACGGGUGAGUCAUGUCUGGGAAACUGCCUGAUGGAGGGGGAUAACUACUGGAAAAGGUAGCUAAUACCGCAUACCAUCGGAUGUGCCCAGAUGGGAUUAGCUAGUAGGUGGGGUAAAGGCUCACCUAGGCGACGAUCCCUAGCUGGUCUGAGAGGAUGACCAGCCACACGUGAACGGUGACACGGUCCAGCCUCCUACGGGAGGCAGCAGUGGGUAAUAUUGCACAAUGGGGGCAAGCCUGCUGUAUCCAUGCCGCGUGUAUGAAGAGGGCCUUGGGGUUGUAAUGUACUUUCAGCGGGGAGGCGUUACCCGCAGAAGAAGCCCCGGCUAACUACGUGCCAGCAGCCGCGGUAAUAC